rfam:Asian citrus Psyllid, Diaphorina citri - Florida Strain, whole genome shotgun sequence.
GCCUAGUUAGCUUGGUUGGUAGCGCGUCUGCCUUCUAAGCGCUAGGCCGCGGGUUUGAUUCCCGCCCGGGGCG